rnacentral:lncRNA from 1 species
UUUUUUUUUUUUUCUUUUUACAGCUGCACCUACGGCAAAUGGAAAUGCCCAGGCUGGGGGUCAAAUCAGAGCUGCAGCUGCUGACCUGCACCACAGCCACAGCAACGCAGGCUUACAGCAACAGUGGAUCCUUAACCCACUGAAUGAGGUCAGGGAUGGAACCUGAAUCCUCGGGGACACUAUGUCAGGUUCUUAACCCACUGAGCCACAGUGUGAACUCCCCAUCUUGUAGGAUUUUUAAGCAAGGAGUAAUUAUGAUCAGAUUGAUAUUUAAGAAAGAAAAUAAGGAUAGUGUGGAGUAGAAAUUGAUUAGAGGGAUGGAAAACAAUUAGAGUACGAUGUUAAUCUAGCAGAGAUGAAUGACAGGUAACUCAAAGCCAUGGUGGAGGAAAAAGAGAGAAGAUAGCGCACUGCAAAAAGAUGUACCAGACAGAACUGACUGAAUGGGAAAUUCCACACACACCUUUUGUGUGUGGAAAGUAAUAGAAGGCCAGGAGUCUAGUAUGACUUCCAUAUUUCUACUUUGGGUAGCUCCAUUUGCCAAAGUAGAGAAGGAAGGAAAACGAAUAACUUUGUCAAGAGUAAUGAAGAGUAUGCCGCCUUGGGACGCAUCGGGUUUAAGGAGCCUGUGAAAAAUUCAAGUGACCUCACAGAUGUGGAGUUCAAAGAAGUCUAAGCUAAACAUCUGCUAUACUUCAUCAGUUCUAAUAUGGACACUUUUCUACAUUUAAAAAUCUCCGAAAUGGAGUUCUCGUGGCGCAGCAGAAACGAAUCUGACUAGUAUCCAUGAGGUUGUGGGUUCGAUUCCUGGUCUCCCUCAGUGGGACCAGGGAUGGAACCCAAGUCCUCAUGGAUGCUAGUCGGGUUUGUAGUCCGCUGAACCACAACGGGAACUUCCCCCUGUGCUUGUUCUUGCUUCCUUCACAUCUCUAAGGUGUUGAUCCUAAGUAGUCUAGAGACCUCCCCAAUAACUUCCUGCAGAUAAAUAUCCAUCUCCGAGCCUGUUUCUCAGGGAACUAAACCUAUAGGAACAUGACUCAUGGCCUACAAGGUCCUUCAUGAUCUGGCCCCUGCCGAUCUUUCUAGUCUUAUUCUCUCCAGUGCCCCCUUGCACCCUACUCCUCAGCUCAUCAAACUCUCAAUUCCCCAGACACCAAGUUCUGUCUUGCUCUGUGCAAAUUUGUUUCACAGCAUUCAUUCAAUAAAUAUUCAUUAUGCUACUGUACCUACCGUGAGGCUCUCAGGAAAGAGAGGGCAUUCUCAAAAGGGGGAGCUAAAGAAAAUUUAAUGAGAGGGUUUUCUAAAAGAUGUAAGCAGGGUUAUGGGAAACCAGAAAGCAUCCCAAGACUAAUAGCAGUAGGGAGCUCCUUGGGUUGAAGAGGUAAAGGGAAGCGUGGUUAGUGAGAGCUACACUGGAGGAGCUGUAGCUGCAGGCAAGAGCCAGCAGGCAGGAAUGGUGACCUUCAGGAAGACGCCAGCUGCUGCUGACCCAGCCCAGCUGGGAGUGAGGUAGGAUGAAAAAUUCCCCAAUCCCUCUCUCUCUCCCUCUCUCCAUCCUCCAAACUCCCACUGGGGCAGCUGAACCCACCUAGAAGCCCCAGAAGUAAAGAUGUGGUCCACAGAGCUGGGCGGAGAGGUAAAAGGCUGGAUUUGGAGGAGCAAAGAGAGAGCAUUCUUUGUAAUCCCUGAACAACACGGAAUAGCAGUGCCCUCGUGUUGUUUACAAUCUCAAAGGGGAAAAUAGACUUCCAUCAAUGAAUCAUAGAAAAGUAAUGAAAAUACUAAUUCUUUUCAUGUUCACAUAAAAUUUACCAUGAGCGAGUGAAUCUGUAAAGCAAGUCCCCAGAAAAUUUUAAAAACCGGCCUCAUAGACCAUGCUCUCUGCCCACAAUAUAAUUGUUAUAACUGAUUAACGAAAACCUAGAGGGAUUUAUCCUCACACUUUGAAAGUGAAAAACAUGCCUAUGUACAACUCAGGCAAAGAAGAAAUCAUAAUGGCAAUAACAAAAAUGUUACAUGUUAAAAUUUAUGGGAUGCCCCAUAAAUAGUUGUAUUUCAAGGGAAAUUAUGAAAUUAAAUGUUUAC